rnacentral:sRNA from 1 species
AAGCGACCGAUUCGAAGCGCCGGAGAAUGGGAUAGGAAUCCGGCCACGUACGACACGCGCAUGACGGAGACGUACGCCCCCAGAGUCGCCCGGGCCUGCCUACGUCU